rnacentral:misc_RNA from 1 species
GAUGAAGAACGUAGCGAAAUGCGAUAAGUAAUGUGAAUUGCAGAAUUCAGUGAAUCAUCGAGUCUUUGAACGCACAUUGCGCCCUCUGGUAUUCCGGAGGGCAUGCCUGUCCGAGCGUCAUUGCUGCCCUCAAGCACGGCUUGUGUGUUGGGCCCCGCCCCCCGAUCCCGGGGGGCGGGCCCGAAAGGCAGCGGCGGCACCGCGUCCGGUCCUCGAGCGUAUGGGGCUUUGUCACCCGCUCUGUAGGCCCGGCCGGCGCUUGCCGAUCAACCAAACUUUUUUCCAGGUUGACCUCGGAUCAGGUAGGGAUACCCGCUGAACUUAAGCAUAUCAAUAAGCGGAG